rnacentral:lncRNA from 1 species
CUGUGGAUUAUGUACCAUUAUUGAGACAAACUUGUCUUGCCUUCUUUCACUCAUCUGGUUGUAUUAUCUCUGUGCUUACAGGUGGUAAACCAGCAAUUCUGGUCGUGAUGCAUCACACCUUCAACCCUGACCAAGUUCUAGCUGAAAGCAGAAGACUGGUGAACGUUAAUGUCCGCACAGGGCUACCUGGUUGAUCCUGCCAGUAGCAUAUGCUUGUCUCAAAGAUUAAGCCAUGCAAGUCUAAGUAUUUUCCUCAAUGUCUUUAGUGUCCCAGAAAAAGUUCUUUGUCAUCUUGGCGGGAAAAACUGAUGAUGCUCAUCUUGAGUUUGUGGCAAAGCUUGAAAGCAUUGGCCAUACUGAGGUGAACUCUCCAGAAGAAAGUGACUACCUUCUGGUUUUCUGUCCUGUAAUUUUUAUAUUGGAGACCUCCACUGACACAAAAACUUAUGCAAUCAGCAUUUUUUAAGUUGAUCAUUAUUUUAAAAUUAUCAAAUGAAAAUUCAACACAUAGUGAUUUACAGUUGAACUAAUGUAUGACAGUAGUGACGUUCUGGGCUGUGUAACAUACUUUCUACACUUUGUGCUGAAUCUAGCACAAGAUGUUUUUUGGGCAAUAUUUCCUUUUAUCUGGGUCUGAUGGUGUAGCUACACUAAACUAUGUUACAGUGCAGUAAUGACUCAAAUUUUCCUCAAUGUCUUUAGUGUCCCAGAAAAAGUUCUUUGUCAUCUUGGCGGGAAAAACUGAUGAUGCUCAUCUUGAGUUUGUGGCAAAGCUUGAAAGCAUUGGCCAUACUGAGGUGAACUCUCCAGAAGAAAGUGACUACCUUCUGGUUUUCUGUCCUGUUGCUUCAAGAGUUGAAAGGGACGUCAGCGAGGCCCUGGAAAACCUUCCAGGUGGUAAACCAGCAAUUCUGGUCGUGAUGCAUCACACCUUCAACCCUGACCAAGUUCUAGCUGAAAGCAGAAGACUGGUGAACAACCCCAAUGUUGAGCUUACUGUGGACUGUCUGUUCUAUGAGGGCAAACUCCUGACGUCCAACAGAAAUGAUACUGCAUGGCGUGAUGUCCAAAAGUAUCUUGGAGUUUCCAAGGUAAUGACUAGAUUUACCGAUCUAAUACUAUCACAAAAUCCCUGGGGAGUGCACUGGUAUUGUGAUAUUAAGGGUUAAGGGAUCAUUACUGUAGUCCACCACUGAAAUUAUGUACAUGAUGCAGUUUCUUAAAUUAUUUUAUGUUCUUACUUUCUUUCUUUCUUUCUUUCUUUCUUUUUUUGGUCUCCACCUUUCAAACCAUGUUCAAUAGUAAGUGUGACAGCAAUCAUGAAUUCCACAUUUCAGAUCAGAUUUUUUCUAGUCUAUCUUCUUCACUUUCCUUUGAAUUAAGGGAUAUUGAUGUUGGCAUUAUUAAUCUAAUCAUACCAAUAAUUUCUGGUUGCUGUAAUCGCUCCUCCUGUCAAUACUAGAUUUUAAUGUAAGUGAUGGGGAACAAAAUAAUUUAAUCAGAAUAUAAAGCUAGGGUAAUGACCAAAGUAACUUCACAACCUCAGUAAUUGUGCUUUUGAGACAUUCAGCAACAGCCUGUCUGCAACAGAGUUAGUACUUCAUGAUUGAUUCUCUGGCUUUUGUGUACACACAUUAGAUUUUAACCAGGAAAUAACAAAGUCUGUGCUUUGAAGAUUUGUUAAUUUUUAUAUUGGAGACCUCCACUGACACAAAAACUUAUGCAAUCAGCAUUUUUUAAGUUGAUCAUUAUUUUAAAAUUAUCAAAUGAAAAUUCAACACAUAGUGAAUUACAGUUGAACUAAUGUAUGAAAGUUCUGAAGUUCGGGGUUGUGUAACAAACCAAUUUGUGCUGAAUCUAGCACAAGAUGUUUUUUGGGCAAUAUUUCCUUUUAUCUAGAUCUGAUGGUGUAGCUACACUAAACUAUGUUACAGUGCAGUAAUGACUCAAAUUUUCCUCAAUGUCUUUAGUGUCCCAGAAAAAGUUCUUUGUCAUCUUGGCGGGAAAAACUAAUGAUGCUCAUCUUGAGUUUGUGGCAAAGCUUGAAAGCAUUGGCCAUACUGAGGUGAACUCUCCAGAAGAAAGUGACUACCUUCUGGUUUUCUGUCCUGUUGCUUCAAGAGUUGAAAGGGACGUGAGCGAGGCCCUGGAAAACCUUCCAGGUAGGAAAUGGCUUUAUUUCACAAUGAUUAGUUAAAGGAAUACAGGAAAAUUUAAUCCAUCAGUUGAAAAGUUUUUCAUUUUGAUUUGAAUUCAACUUACCAUAGUGUUUGCUUUUGUACAGGUUCUAAUUGGACUUGAGGUGCAUCUGUUUUUAGCAAUUCCCUAAAAUUAAACUGUUGUAAAUGCAGGACUUGGCGUCCAUGUUUGAUGACACAUUUUUUUCAUCAAAUACAUUUUCCAUGUAUUGAGUGUUCACAGGUCUGUGGAUUAUGCACUAUCAUUGAGUCAUAUGGAUCUCUUCUCUCAAGUUUCCUCUCCUUUACUCAUCUGGUUGUGUUAUCUCUGUGCUUACAGGUGAUAAACCAGCAAUUCUGGUCGUGAUGCAUCACACCUUCAGUCCUGACCAAGUUCUAGCUGAAAGCAGAAGACUAGUGGACAACCCCAAUGUUGAGCUUACAGUGGACUGUCUGUUCUAUAAGGGCAAACUCCUGAAGUCCAACAGAAAUGAUACUGCAUGGUUUGAUGUCCAGAAGUAUCUUGGAGUUUCCAAGGUAAUGACUAGAUUUACUGAUCUAAUACUAUCACACAAAUCCCGGGGAGUGCACUGGUAUUGUGAUAAAAGGGGUAAGGGAUCAUUACUGUAGUCCACCACUGAUGCAUCAUGCAGUUUCAUUAAUUAUUUUAUGUUCUUACUUUCUUUCUUUCUUUCUUUAGGUCUCCACUUUUCGAACCAUGUUCAAUAGUAAGUGUGACAUCAAUCAUGAACUUCAGAUUUCAGGUCAGAGUUUUUCUAGUCUAUCUUCUUCACUUUCCUUUGAAUUAAGGGAUAUUGAUGUUGGUAUUAUUAAUCUUAUAAUACCAAUCAUUUCUCGUUGCUGUAAUCACUUCUCCUGUCAAUGCUAGAUUUUAAUGUAAGUGAUGGGGAACAAAAUAAUUUAAUCAGAAUAUAAAGCUAGGGUAAUGACCAAAGUAACUUCACAACCUCAGUAAUUGUGCUUUUGAGACAUUCAGCAACAGCCUGUCUGCAACAGAGUUAGUACUUCAUGAUUGAUUCUCUGGCUUUUGUGUACACACAUUAGCUUUUAACCAGGAAAUAACAAAGUCUGUGCUUUGAAGAUUUGUUAAUUUUUAUAUUGGAGACCUCCACUGACACAAAAACUUAUGCAAUCAGCAUUUUUUAAGUUGAUCAUUAUUUUAAAAUUAUCAAAUGAAAAUUCAACACAUAGUGAAUUACAGUUGAACUAAUGUAUGAAAGUUCUGAAGUUCGGGGUUGUGUAACAAACCAAUUUGUGCUGAAUCUAGCACAAGAUGUUUUUUGGGCAAUAUUUCCUUUUAUCUGGGUCUGAUGGUGUAGCUACACUAAACUAUGUUACAGUGCAGUAAUGACUCAAAUAUUCCUCUCUGUCUUUAGUGUCCCAGAAAAAGUUCUUUGUCUUCUUGGCGGGAAAAACUGAUGAUGCUCAUCUUGAGUUUGUGGCAAACCUUAAAAGCAUUGGUCAUACUGAGGUGAACUCUCCAGAAGAAAGUGACUACCUUCUGGUUUUCUGUCCUGUUGCUUCAAGAGUUGAAAGGGACGUCAGCGAGGCCCUGGAAGACCUUCCAGGUAGGAAAUGGCUUCAUUUCACACUGAUUAGUUAAAGGAAUACAGGGAAAUUUGAUCCAUCAGUUGAAAAGUUUUUAAUUUUGAUUUGAAUUCAAUUUACCAUAGUGUUUGCUUUUGUACAGG